rnacentral:tRNA from 1 species
GCCCAUGUGGCUCAGUGGUAGAGCACUUCCUUGGUAAGGAAGAGGUCAUCGGUUCGAUCCCGAUCAUGGGCUCCA